rnacentral:rRNA from 1 species
AAUGAACGCUGGCGGCAGGCCUAACACAUGCAAGUCGAGCGGAAGCAGGGAGCUUGCUCCUGGAUGGCGGGGGAGACGGGGGGGAAAUGCCUAUGGGUCUGCCUGAACGUGGGGGAUGGGGUCCGGAAACGGGAGCUAAUACCACAUCCGAAGAGUGGGAGAAAGUGGGGGAUCUUCGGAUCGAACACUAUUAGAGGAGCCUAGGUCGGAUUAGCUAGGUGGUGGGGUAAAGGGCUACCAAGGCGACGAUCCGUAACUGGUCUGAGAGGAUGAGCAGUCACACUGGAACUGAGACACGGUCCAGACUCCUACGGGAGGCAGCAGUGGGGAAUAUUGCACAAUGGGCGAAUGCCUGAUCCAGCCAUGCCGCGUGUAUGAAGAAGGUCUUCGGAUUGUAAAGCACUUUAAGUUGGGAGGAAGGGCAGUAAGUUAAUACCUUGCUGUAUUGACGUUACCAACAGAAUAAGCACCGGCUAACUUCGUG